rnacentral:misc_RNA from 1 species
GAUGAAGAACGCAUCGAAAUGCGAUAAGUAGUGUGAAUUGCAGAAUUCCGUGAAUCAUCGAAUCUUUGAACGCACAUUGCGCCCCCUGGCAUUCCGGGGGGCAUGCCUGUCCGAGCGUCAUUUCUGCCCUCCAGCCAGGCUGGGUGUUGGGCGCUGUCCCCCCGGGGACACGCCCCAAAGGCAGUGGCGGCGCCGCGUCGGGUCCUCGAGCGUAUGGGGCUUUGUCACCCGCUCGGGACGGACUCGUCGGCGCUGGUCUUCCUCCAGGCGACCCUUCGGGGCUCGUCUUCCUUCGGUUGACCUCGGAUCAGGUAGGGUUACCCGCUGAACUUAAGCAUAUCAAUAAGCGGAGGA